rnacentral:rRNA from 1 species
UACGUAGGGUGCAAGCGUUGUCCGGAAUUAUUGGGCGUAAAGAGCUCGUAGGCGGUUUGUUGCGUCGGCUGUGAAAUCCCGAGGCUCAACCUCGGGUCUGCAGUCGAUACGAGCAAACUAGAGUGUUGCAGGGGAGACUGGAAUUCCUGGUGUAGCGGUGAAAUGCGCAGAUAUCAGGAGGAACACCGGGUGGCGAAGGCGGGUCUCUGGGCCGAUACUGACGCUGGAGGAGCGAAA